rnacentral:lncRNA from 1 species
UUGGAAUGACCGUUUCAUAUUCCUUUAAUUGGGGUGUGAAUUAGACAUGAUCAGCCUCACAUCGCAAGGACCAUCGCCAUGCCUACUUAACUAUAAAAAGGCAACAACAGGGAGAGAGAAUGAAGAACACAAUAUUGGGACUAAGUUUUGGUUCUUGGAGAGGAUUUUCAACAAGGUCAACUAUCAAGGUAUAAUAUUAAUUCUUCAUUAUGUUACUUUGCCCUCCAUAAUGUGAAAUUUAGCAUCAAACUUUUGUGAUUUGUAUAAAUAUCAAGGAAUCCACCAAAGAACCCUAAAGGGUAGGGUUUUGAAUUUGUGAACAUUAAAGGUAAUUCCUUCACUUAGACUUGAUAUUUUAUGAUCAUUAUGGUGUUUUAUGGGUAUUUAUUGAUAUUAAUUGUUGUAAGUGAUUGGUUAAGUUUGACGAAAAUGUAGUCGAAGGGUGGAAUGCAUGUUUAUAAAGAGUUGUACAUAGAAUUUAUUGACUAAAAAUGCAUAAGAAUGAAAUGGGUAACUCUACAUCAUGCCACCCCUAUAGAAUAAUGGAUUGGUUGUCUUAGGGCCUACUUCAAUCUUGAUGAAUUGAACUUGUUACGCUUUAUUUGUUAUGAUUAAGCCCUAAUAUAUGUGAAUUGUCACUCUUGGAUUGUACUAUUGGGUUGAGAAGGCCAGAAUCAUACUUAAGGUCUGGGUAAGUUGAGAUUUGACCAUCUAAAUAUUUUUCUGAAAUGCAUGCAUCCAAAGUGUUUGACGAAUUUCCUAGACGAAUUAUUUGAAAUAUUUUGAGAUCAAGUGCUUAUGGGGACGAGCGGGUGCUUGAUUCACCAUAUUUGUUGAACGAUUUGAAUGUUGACCAUGAGACUUAGUGUUUGAAUAUUGAAAUGUCUUUCUUAACGCUCUUGGAGUUUUUAUUUAUUUUAAAUAUUAUAAGUAGCAUAAUUUGACAUAAAUAAAGUGUUACUGGAAAAGUUUUAAAUAUUUGAUACUUUUAAGGUUGUUUGACGCCUUUAUGGUUAUAUUGACGCCUUGUAUGGCUUUUAAAAUUAUUUUAUGGUUUGUUGAAGUUGUUUAACUUUCUAAAUGUUGAUGAUCGUUAUAUUGAUAUUCAGACAUGUCGAUAUUAUCCUGGAUAGACCAACAAAGUGGAGCAUGCGAAUAAUCUCGAAUUGUUUAGUGGACCAUUGACACGUUGCAAGUCUAAGAACAUCCAAGGAUUGCACAGUAGGAAGUUGCAUAAUCUUCAAGCGUGGAUUAGAAGAUGUUUGGAGAGAUAAUUUGAUGAUUCAUGCAAAGAUUACCAUAUUUAGAAUCUUGAAGAUUGCUUGAAACAAGUGGCUGAGUGAAGAUCGUUUAGAAGGUGUGCAUAACAGCGCGAACCCCGUACAAUUUUGCCAAACGGGAACUUUCACUAGGAGCCAAAAUGUUCAUGAGCCAAAACAGAAGGUUCAGCGCUAUCAUGCAAUUGCGCCACUCAUAGCAGGAAUUCAAGAAGGGGACUAUAAAUUUAAGACUGUAGGUUGCUUUCAUACUUGAGAUUGGAGGACCCUAUAAGAGAGAACUAGGAUCUCUUGUUUCAUAUUCAACUUCGGAUUACCAUUUUUCAAUAAUUGGAAAUUCUUUAGGGUAAUCGUCUUCUCGUUAACUUGCAUUUGGGGUUCAAUUUCGCCUUCUUUGGAGACGAUAAUUCUUUAGUGCAUCGGUUGUUGCCUGAAAUGUUCAUAUAGGAUUUUAGAUUUUUUCUCUAUUUGCUUAUCCAUAUUUUCCGU